rnacentral:rRNA from 1 species
CCUACGGGUGGCAGCAGUGAGGAAUAUUGGUCAAUGGACGAGAGUCUGAACCAGCCAAGUAGCGUGAAGGAUUACUGCCCUAUGGGUUGUAAACUUCUUUUAUAUGGGAAUAAAACGUUCCACGUGUGGGAUUUUGUAUGUACCAUAUGAAUAAGGAUCGGCUAACUCCGUGCCAGCAGCCGCGGUAAUACGGAGGAUCCGAGCGUUAUCCGGAUUUAUUGGGUUUAAAGGGAGCGUAGGUGGAUUGUUAAGUCAGUUGUGAAAGUUUGCGGCUCAACCGUAAAAUUGCAGUUGAAACUGGCAGUCUUGAGUACAGUAGAGGUGGGCGGAAUUCGUGGUGUAGCGGUGAAAUGCUUAGAUAUCACGAAGAACUCCGAUUGCGAAGGCAGUUCACUGGACUGCAACUGACACUGAGGCUCGAAAGUGUGGGUAUCAAACAGGAUUAGAUACCCCAGUAGUC